UCAUAUAUUGAUUCAACGAAACAAUCUGUUAUUACAAUGCAAGUAUCAUCAACUAUGAGUACAUCACUUUCUUAGAAAAAAAAUGAAAUUUCUAAACAUUCAUAGAACUGUCUUGUUUCUCCUCCAAGUACCAAGAAUCAUCAUACGUUCUCCAAGGAUCCAAUUAAUCAUCUAGUAUUGAAAUUCUCAACCUACAAAGAAAAAUCAUAAUACUAUUUAGGCAUAAAUUCCAAGUGAAGUUCAAAAACAUACAUACUGUACAUUGUACUAAGGAACCACAUAAACGUCUCAGCCUUAGUUAGUUUUGUGUCACCAUUACUUACGUACAACUCAUGCUUGGUAUGAUGUAUUAGGAAAAAAAACUGAAUGCCAAUAACCCAAAAAUCAUUAACUAAUCUACAUCACAGAAAACUUUGUAGAUACCUGAGAACUACAUUGUCACAUUGGAAUUUCUCAAUUCAAAAAUAGAAUUCUCAGAACCAGUAGAAGAAACAACAUGAAAAGAAACAAAUCGUUAGAUUUGGGCUCCUGAGAAUUUAUAUCUAGAGAAGGUAGGAUCCAGGGAGUUUACACAAAAUUAAAAAUAAUUUAAUGUGGCACUAUUUAAUUCUUGAGGACCAGACCAAGCACUAGAGCUAAAUACAUAUUUAUGAAAAUGCAUGAGGGGUGACCUAUGUAAUGGCUGAACUAUCCGAAUAAAAGCAAAGCUGAGUAAUGGAUGAACGUUUUUUUUCUCAAAACUAAGAAACACGACCCAUGUGCCUUUACUGCCAAUGUGACUUUUCAUUUAACCCGGAGAAUUUGAUCUUUGGUCAUAGCUCAGCUCCCUAAUCACGUAUUGUUUGUCACGUCAUUUAAUAACUGAAUAUCGAUACCUAUAUGACUCUACAAAAUAUGGGCCUGGACAAAAAUUAAGACCGAAAAAACUAGACAUAUAUUGGCACAAUUAACUAACAAAGAUUCAUUGGAACAGUUAGUGUAAAAAUUAAGGACAUGGAAUAAAUAAGAAUGCUAGGAGAAGAUAAAGAAAUGGACACCUUAUAGUGGCCUGAACCAGGGGAGAGGGUUUACCAAGUAAGCGAAUGGGUUACCCCACUUUUUGCGACCUUGUCGUAAUUAAGCUGUACAUUUCCUUCCA
rnacentral:lncRNA from 1 species